CCUACGGGCGGCUGCAGUGAGGAAUAUUGGUCAAUGGACGAGAGUCUGAACCAGCCAAGUAGCGUGAAGGAUGACUGCCCUAUGGGUUGUAAACUUCUUUUAUAUGGGAAUAAAUUGUUCCACGUGUGGGAUUUUGUAUGUACCAUAUGAAUAAGGAUCGGCUAACUCCGUGCCAGCAGCCGCGGUAAUACGGAGGAUCCGAGCGUUAUCCGGAUUUAUUGGGUUUAAAGGGAGCGUAGGUGGAUUGUUAAGUCAGUUGUGAAAGUUUGCGGUGCAACCGUAAAAUUGCAGUUGAAACUGGCAGUCUUGAGUACAGUAGAGGUGGGCGGAAUUCGUGGUGUAGCGGUGAAAUGCUUAGAUAUCACGAAGAACUCCGAUUGCGAAGGCAGUUCACUGGACUGCAACUGACACUGAGGCUCGAAAGUGUGGGUAUCAAACAGGAUUAGAUACCCUUGUAGUC
rnacentral:rRNA from 1 species